GGGUGCAUAGCUCAGCGGUAGAGCGCUACGUUCACAUCGUAGAGGCCGAAAGUUCGAUCCUUUCUGCACCCA
rnacentral:tRNA from 5 species